rnacentral:rRNA from 1 species
UACGUAAGUGGCGAGCGUUAUCCGGAAUUACUGGGCGUAAAGCGUGCGUAGGCGGUUUAGUGUGUGGGAAUUGAAAGCCCGGGGCUCAACUCCGGAUCCGGUUCCCAAACUGCUAGACUCGAGAGUAUCAGAGGAGAGCGGAAUUCCCGGUGUAGCGGUAAUAUGCGUAGAUAUCGGGAGGAACACCGGUGGCGAAGGCGGCAUCCUGGACCGGCAUUGACGCUGAGGCGCGAAAGCCAGGGGAGCAAACGGG